GAUGAAGAACGUAGCGAAAUGCGAUAAGUAAUGUGGAUUGCAGAAUUCAGUGAAUCAUCGAAUCUUUGAACGCACCUUGCACCCUUUGGCAUUCUGAAGGGUAUGCUCGUUUGAGUGUCAUUGUACUCUCACACUCCCGAUCUUUGCAUUGGGAGCAGUGGACUUGGGUUUGCUGCUUCACCGUCGCUUACCUCAAAUAGGUUAGUGCAACUCUUGGUUGGACAUAGUACGGCGUGAUAAGUGUUCUUCGCCGGUGCCUCGCAAAGAGGGUGGCCGAUCGGGAUGUUGUGCUCCAAACCGUCUUCGGACAAUCUCUGACGACUUGACCUCAAAUCGAGUAAGACUACCCGCUGAACUUAAGCAUAUCAAUAAGCGGAGGA
rnacentral:misc_RNA from 1 species